AAGGGUGGCUGUAAAUAUGCACGGUCAACCCCGGUUUGUUAAGUAGCAUAUUAACCAGGAGUUUUAUCAUGGCCCUGUCUGCUGAAAAGAAAGCUGAAAUCGUUAAGGAAUUCGGUCACGCUGAA
rfam:Oceanospirillales bacterium LTC14_002_19_P2 _43, whole genome shotgun sequence.